rnacentral:tRNA from 1 species
GCGGUGGUAGUAUAGUGGCCUAGUAUUCGGCCUUGCCAAGGCUGUGACCCGGGUUCAAAGCAAGUAUCUUCGGAUGCUUCUGAAAGUCCCGGCCACCGCA